UUCUCUGGCUUCCUGCUCAACCCUCACUAACCUGAAGGGAACAGUCUAUUCUCUGGCUUCCUGAAGGGAACAGUCUAUUCUCUGGCUUCCUGCUCAACCCUCACUAACCUGAAGGGAACAGUCUAUUCUCUGGCUUCCUGCUCAACCCUCACUAACCUGAAGGGAACAGUCUAUUCUCUGGCUUCCUGCUCUACCCUCACUAACCUGAAGGGAACAGUCUAUUCUCUGGCUUCCUGCUCUACCCUCACUAACCUGAAGGGAACAGUCUAUUCUCUGGCUUCCUGA
rnacentral:lncRNA from 8 species